CAACAACUAUGUUGAAGAUUGUUUAUAAAUUUAUUGGGCAAAACACGAAUGUUGUUAGUAAGACGAAGUAACUCGAGAUGCCCUGAAAUAGUGGGAUUUGAGAGUGAACGAGAGGAUGUUUCCUGGGGCUAAAUAACUGUGCUACAGAGUUUUCUUUCUAUGUAAUAAUUCAUUCGGUCGCGAUUCCAAGUUUCUCACAUGAAUUUCGAAGGAGCAAUAAAUAAAUAUACAACGCAAUGCUUUAACUUUAAACAGAUACUUUCUAUUUUACUGCAUUUACUUUUACCGACGCUCUUCUACACAUAUUUUCUCUGACACAAGUUCUAAAUAUCUACUAUAUAGAACUCUCUAUUGGUUAGAGGUAGGGUUUACCACACAAGUACUGACGCUUUCGAUAUGUCAACUUCAGUCAUUUCUGUAUUUAUAAAUUGAAUAGCUAUUUUAUUUUUUGUUUACAUAUAUUUAUACUUUGUUAGUAAUUAACUGCUGUGAUUAACUUAAGAGAUUGUUGAUUAACCAAACAAAGACAAUAGAAAUAUCUUGUAAGAAGUAGUUGAAAGUUCUGUCCAUUAAUUUCAAGUUUUGCCACUUCAGUACAUCUUUAUUUCAUGUUAUAACUACAUUGUUUUGUUAUCUGCUGAUAUUGAGAUAAAAAUCUUUCACUAAUGACGAUCAACAUAUUUAUCAACAUAUGAAAACUGAUGUUAGCUGUAUUUGCAGUGUUUGAUUGAAUGUAUGUCACAUUGUUUGCAAAAAUUCUUACACAAAUGUGUAACAAUUAAACUUGGAAGAUUAACCAUAAAAUUUUAGCUGUAUGUACUUUCGUAGCUGUACUUCUUAAUUGAAGCAAAUUUCACAAUCCUAUAGUUACAAAAUAAAUCCACUUGAAGUUUCUUAAUAAAAACCACCAUGCUUUAAACACAACCAUCACAAAAAGAACAUAUAGAUUAAAACAAAGUUAUGAAUAAGAAAGUAGUAACCUCACAGACACAGAAAAAUAUGGAAGAAAAAUCACAUCCUUGUGAUAUAUGUGGCAAGUUAUACAUAACUAGAAAGAAUUUAAUGCAACAUAAAUUAAGCCACUCAGUCUCCAAGUUGUACCACUGUGAAGUCUGCGAUAAAAGAUUUACUAGAAACAGUUUGUUAACACGCCACAAACGUAUUCACACAGGAGAGAGACCAUAUCAUUGUGAUAUCUGUGGCGAAAGAUUUUCUAGAAGUGGCAAUUUGUCUCGACACAAACAUAUUCACACAGGAGAGAAACCAUACCACUGUGAUAUUUGUGGUAAAACAUUCUCUGAUAGUGGUAUAUUGUCUUCCCAUAAACGUGUUCAUACAGGAGAGAAACCAUAUCCCUGUAAUAUUUGUGGUAAAACAUUCUCUCAGAGUAAUGUCCUAUCUACCCACAAACGUAUCCAUACUGGAGAGAAGCCAUACCUUUGCAAUAUUUGUGGUAAAACAUUUUCCCAAAGUGGUAGUUUGUCUUCCCACAAACAUAUUCACACAGGAGAGAAACCCUAUCAGUGUAAUAUUUGUGGUAAAACAUUCUCUAGAAGCAGUAACCUAUAUGCUCACAAACGUAAUCACACUGGUGAUAACCCAUAUAAAUGUGAUGUUUGUGGCAACACAUUUUCUCUAAGUCGUGACUUAUCUUCCCACAAACGUAUUCACACAGGAGAGAAACCAUAUCACUGUGAUAUCUGUGGUAAAACAUUCUCUCAAAGUGGUAAUUUAUCUCAACACAAGCAUAUCCACUCAGGGGAGAAACCAUACCAUUGUAAUAUUUGUGGUAAAACAUUCUCUCAGAAAGGUAAUUUAUAUCAACACAAACUUAUCCACACAGGAGAGAAACCAUACCACUGUGAUAUCUGUGGUAAAAGAUUCUCUCAGAAAGCUAUUUUAUCUAAACACAAACGUAUUCAUACAGGUGAGAAACCAUAUGAGUGUGAUAUCUGUAGUAAAGCAUUCUCUAACAAUAGUAGUGUGUCUCGACACAAACGUAUUCACACAGGAGAGAAACCAUUCUACUGUGAUAUAUGUGGUAAAACUUUCACUCGGAGUAGUAGUUUAGCAACCCAUCAAUAUGUUCACAUUGGAGAGAAACCAUAUCACUGUGAUAUCUGUGGUCAAACAUUUUCUACAAAUAGAAAUAUAUUAAGUCACAAACGUAUCCACACAGGUGAAAAACCAUAUCACUGUCAUAUCUGUGGCAAAACAUUCUCUAACAGUGGUACUUUAUCUCGACAUAAGCAUAUUCAUACGUGAGAGAAAUAUACAACCAAUUUUACAGUAUAUUUUCUGGAAAUGAUUAAUUAUCUAGACCAUGUUAUGUUAAAUCAAGAAGAAAUCACUGUGAUAUUUGAGGUUAUCUGAUAAUACUGAUAUCUGACACAAGACACAUCAACUGACUAAUGAAGAAUAUGAAAGACUGAAGAAUGACUUCAUGAAGUUAACAUGAGACAGAGGUUAUCUUACUUCUCUGAAAUUUUAAAAAGUUGAUUGGAAAUAUGUCUUGUCUUGAUUUUUUUUUGUGGUUGAACUCAAGAAAUUUAAUAGAAAACAUUACCAACCUUAUAUUUAAUGCAUAAGAUAUCUGGAUAUAUUUUGAAAAUUGGAUUGAUUGAAUACAAUCAUGUUUGACAGGAUAACAUUUAAUUCAAAAAUUAAAAUCAACAAGUAUGGUAUUUAUCUGAAAAGAGUAUGAAAAAUGUUUAUAUGUAAGAGACAUAGCUAAAA
rnacentral:misc_RNA from 1 species